rnacentral:rRNA from 1 species
ACUCCUGCGGGAGGCAGCAGUGGGGAAUAUUGGACAAUGGGCGCAAGCCUGAUCCAGCCAUGCCGCGUGAGUGAUGAAGGCCCUAGGGUUGUAAAGCUCUUUCACCGGUGAAGAUAAUGACGGUAACCGGAGAAGAAGCCCCGGCUCACUUCGUGCCAGCAGCCGCGGUAAUACGAAGGGGGCUAGCGUUGUUCGGAUUUACUGGGCGUAAAGCGCACGUAGGCGGACUAUUAAGUCAGGGGUGAAAUCCCGGGGCUCAACCCCGGAACUGCCUUUGAUACUGGUAGUCUUGAGUUCGAGAGAGGUGAGUGGAAUUCCGAGUGGAGAGGUGAAAUUCGUAGAUAUUCGGAGGAACACCAGUGGCGAAGGCGGCUCACUGGCUCGAUACUGACGCUGAGGUGCGAAAGCGUGGGGAGCAAACAGGAUUAGAAACCCUUGUAGUCCC